rnacentral:lncRNA from 9 species
AUGGACUCCGUGGCAGAGACAACCGCAUGGGCACCGGCCCGCGUGCGGCACCAGCCACCCGGCCCCCGCCCAUCCAAAGGGAUACCAACGCCCCUGCCCGGGACCCGCGCCGCCCUCCUGCGGCCCCACGCGGCGCCGGGAUUCCCCCGCAAGGUGACCCGGAGCGGGGCAGCUGCCCCGGCGCCGGCGGAGGCCGGGCACUUACCCGGCUGGCUGGCGGGCGGCGGGAUGCGGGCAAGACCCGGACUGGACCCACGCACGAGCGGCCGAACUGACGGACGUUCAGAUGGAAGCGUGGCCGGACUGACGGACGCUCGGGCGGAGAUGCGGCGCACGGGGAGCAGCAGCGCGAGUGGGAGCUCGGGAAGGGCCGGAAGCCUGAGCCUGCCUGUGCCCUGGCGGUAGGACGAGCACCUGGCUGGCGGGCAAGUCACAGCGACUACUUCCGGAGCUACUCCCCCAGAGGUGGCAGAAACUGUAGCAGGAGUCCACAGUGCUUAUCUCACAGGCUCCGUCAUUGCUGUCUCUCUUUGCUCCAAAAAACCAAGCAAGAACCACAGUCUUUAGAGAUCCAGUAACCUGUGACAUGAGAGGUAAGUAGGUGAUAGAUUAAUCCUGCCAGCCUCCUCUGUAACUUUGUAGGAAAACAGGAAAAACGAUAGCCCGUUGUCCACUCCUUUGAAUCCCCUCCACACCUCCUGCCCGCUUCCGCACCCCUCAGAUUUCCUUGGUCAGUGAUGGGGGCUCAUUGUCAGCCACUGGGUUUGGCACUCUUGGAAUUACAGUAGCAGUUUGUAAAGCCUAUAAUUGCAGGGUGCUGGCUUCAGAAAACGUUUUAAUGAACACACAGAAAUGGGCUAGUAUUUGCAAGACACUUUGAACAAUGCUUGACCUUAUAAUAAAGAACUAUAUAUGCCUUAUUUUAAAACAAUGAGUUUCAGCAGUAUAUCAUUUCAACCGAUGAAUUGAUGUUCUCAAGUUGCUUUCAGAAGGUCUCCUGUGGAGGCUUUUCCUGAACCCCACACAGCUUCCUCAACCCUCUGACCCAGCCAGCCGUCACAGUAUCUCACCUUAGGAAGCCUGGUGUGAUUCAAGGCCCACCAACUUCGUCUUUGCACUUGAUCUGGAUUUGAAUCUGAAUUCUACCACUUCAAUCGCGGUGUGGUUUUCUGCAAGCUAUUUCACCCUGUUGGGAGAUUAUAAAUUUCAUAUUCUUAUCAAAAUAUCCCUCAGUG